rnacentral:rRNA from 1 species
ACGGGGGGCCUACGGGAGGCAGCAGUGGGGAAUAUUGGACAAUGGGAGCAACCCUGAUCCAGCCAUGCCGCGUGUGUGAAGAAGGCCUUUUGGUUGUAAAGCACUUUAAGCGAGGAGGAGGCUUACCUGGUUAAUACCUGGGAUAAGUGGACGUUACUCGCAGAAUAAGCACCGGCUAACUCUGUGCCAGCAGCCGCGGUAAU